rnacentral:rRNA from 1 species
UACGUAGGGUGCAAGCGUUGUCCGGAAUUAUUGGGCGUAAAGAGCUCGUAGGCGGUCUGUCGCGUCGGAUGUGAAAAUCCAGGGCUCAACCCUGGACCUGCAUUCGAUACGGGCAGACUAGAGUUCGGCAGGGGAGACUGGAAUUCCUGGUGUAGCGGUGAAAUGCGCAGGAUAUCAGGAGGAACACCGGUGGCGAAGGCGGGUUUCUGGGCCGAUACUGACGCUGAGGAGCGAAAGCGUGGGGAGCGAACAGG